UACAGAGGGUGCAAGCGUUAAUCGGAAUUACUGGGCGUAAAGCGUGCGUAGACGGUUAUUUAAGUCAGGUGUGAAAGCCCCGGGCUCAACCUGGGAAUUGCAUUUGAGACUGAAUAGCUAGGGUGCGGAAGAGGGAAGCGGAAUUUCCGGUGUAGCGGUGAAAUGCGUAGAUAUCGGGAGGAACACCAGUGGCGAAGGCGGCCAUCUGGCUCAACAUUGACGCUGAGGCACGAAAGCGUGGGGAGCAAACAGG
rnacentral:rRNA from 1 species